rnacentral:rRNA from 1 species
AACCGACUAAUGUUGAAAAAUUAGCGGAUGACUUGUGGCUGGGGGUGAAAGGCCAAUCAAACCGGGAGAUAGCUGGUUCUCCCCGAAAGCUAUUUAGGUAGCGCCUCGUGAAUUCAUCUUCGGGGGUAGAGCACUGUUUCGGCUAGGGGGUCAUCCCGACUUACCAACCCGAUGCAAACUACGAAUACCGAAGAAUGUUAUCACGGGAGACACACGGCGGGUGCUAACGUCCGUCGUGAAGAGGGAAACAACCCAGACCGCCAGCUAAGGUCCCAAAGUCAUGGUUAAGUGGGAAACGAUGUGGGAAGGCACAGACAGCCAGGAUGUUGGCUUAGAAGCAGCCAUCAUUUAAAGAAAGCGUAAUAGCUCACUGGUCGAGUCGGCCUGCGCGGAAGAUGUAACGGGGCUAAACCAUGCACCGAAGCUGCGGCAGCGACACUAUGUGUUGUUGGGUAGGGGAGCGUUCUGUAAGCCUGCGAAGGUGACCUGUGAGGGUUGCUGGAGGUAUCAGAAGUGCGAAUGCUGACAUAAGUAACGAUAAAGCGGGUGAAAAGCCCGCUCGCCGGAAGACCAAGGGUUCCUGUCCAACGUUAAUCGGGGCAGGGUGAGUCGACCCCUAAGGCGAGGCCGAAAGGCGUAGUCGAUGGGAAACAGGUUAAUAUUCCUGUACUUGGUGUUACUGCGAAGGGGGGACGGAGAAGGCUAUGUUAGCCGGGCGACGGUUGUCCCGGUUUAAGCAUGUAGGCUGGUUAUCCAGGCAAAUCCGGAUAAUCAAGGCUGAGGUGUGAUGACGAGGCACUACGGUGCUGAAGUAACAAAUGCCCUGCUUCCAGGAAAAGCCUCUAAGCAUCAGGUAACAUCAAAUCGUACCCCAAACCGACACAGGUGGUCAGGUAGAGAAUACCAAGGCGCUUGAGAGAACUCGGGUGAAGGAACUAGGCAAAAUGGUGCCGUAACUUCGGGAGAAGGCACGCUGGUGUGUAGGUGAAGUCCCUGCGGAUGGAGCUGAGACCAGUCGAAGAUACCAGCUGGCUGCAACUGUUUAUUAAAAACACAGCACUGUGCAAACACGAAAGUGGACGUAUACGGUGUGACGCCUGCCCGGUGCCGGAAGGUUAAUUGAUGGGGUUAUCCGUAAGGAGAAGCUCUUGAUCGAAGCCCCGGUAAACGGCGGCCGUAACUAUAACGGUCCUAAGGUAGCGAAAUUCCUUGUCGGGUAAGUUCCGACCUGCACGAAUGGCGUAAUGAUGGCCAGGCUGUCUCCACCCGAGACUCAGUGAAAUUGAACUCGCUGUGAAGAUGCAGUGUACCCGCGGCAAGACGGAAAGACCCCGUGAACCUUUACUAUAGCUUGACACUGAACAUUGAGCCUUGAUGUGUAGGAUAGGUGGGAGGCUUUGAAGCGUGGACGCCAGUCUGCGUGGAGCCAACCUUGAAAUACCACCCUUUAAUGUUUGAUGUUCUAAC